UACGGGAGGCAGCAGUGGGGAAUAUUGCACAAUGGGCGCAAGCCUGAUGCAGCCAUGCCGCGUGUAUGAAGAAGGCCUUCGGGUUGUAAAGUACUUUCAGCAGUGAGGAAGGUGGGUAUGUUAAUAGCAUACUCAUUUGACGUUAGCUGCAGAAGAAGCACCGGCUAACUCCGUGCCAGCAGCCGCGGUAAUACGGAGGGUGCGAGCGUUAAUCGGAAUUACUGGGCGUAAAGCGCAUGCAGGUGGUUUGUUAAGUCAGAUGUGAAAGCCCGGGGCUCAACCUCGGAAUUGCAUUUGAAACUGGCAAACUAGAGUACUGUAGAGGGGGUAGAAUUUCAGGUGUAGCGGUGAAAUGCGUAGAGAUCUGAAGGAAUACCGGUGGCGAAGGCGGCCCCCUGGACAGAUACUGACACUCAGAUGCGAAAGCGUGGGGAGCAAACAGGAUUAGAUACCCUGUAG
rnacentral:rRNA from 1 species